rnacentral:lncRNA from 1 species
GCGGCGAUCGCGGAGUUCGUGGCCACCAUGUUGUUCCUGUACGUCACGGUGGCCACCGUGAUCGGGUACAAGCACCAGUCCGACCCCGCCGUGAACCCGACGGAUGCCGCAUGCAGCGGUGUCGGCAUCCUCGGCAUCGCAUGGGCCUUCGGCGGCAUGAUCUUCAUCCUCGUCUACUGCACCGCCGGCAUCUCCGGUCUGCUCUCCCUCCUUCUCGUCUCAAGCUUCUUCCCUUCUUCUACAAUCCUUGACGUGCACCGGCUGCGUUCCCGCAGGUGGGCACAUCAACCCCGCGGUGACGUUUGGGCUGUUCUUGGCGCGCAAGAUUUCGCUCGUCCGCGCCCUCCUCUACAUGAUCGCGCAGUGCCUGGGAGCCAUCUGCGGCGUCGGGCUCGUCAAGGGAUUCCAGUCCGCCUACUACGUCCGCUACGGUGGCGGCGCCAACGAGCUCAGCGACGGUUACUCCAAGGGCACCGGCCUGGCCGCCGAGAUCAUCGGCACCUUCGUCCUCGUCUACACCGUCUUCUCUGCCACUGACCCCAAGCGCAAUGCCCGCGACUCCCA